AGCCGCUAUAGAAAAGGCUGGAUACACUGGAAAGGUGGUUAUUGGAAUGGAUGUUGCUGCUUCUGAAUUCUUCAGUGAGAAGGAUAAGACUUAUGAUCUUAAUUUCAA